ACGGGAGGCAGCAGUGAGGAAUAUUGGUCAAUGGACGAGAGUCUGAACCAGCCAAGUAGCGUGCAGGAUGACGGCCCUAUGGGUUGUAAACUGCUUUUGUACGGGAAUAAAGUGACCUACGUGUAGGUUUUUGCAUGUACCGUAAGAAUAAGGACCGGCUAAUUCCGUGCCAGCAGCCGCGGUAAUACGGAAGGUCCGGGCGUUAUCCGGAUUUAUUGGGUUUAAAGGGUGCGCAGGCGGGACAUUAAGUCGGCGGUGAAAUACCGUGGCCCAACCACGGGGCUGCCGUCGAUACUGAUGACCUAGAGUGCGUGUGACGUAGGCGGAAUGUGACGUGUAGCGGUGAAAUGCUUAGAUAUGUCACAGAACACCGAUUGCGAAGGCAGCCUACGAAUGCGUAACUGACGCUCAUGCACGAAAGCGCGGGUAGCGAACAGGAUUAGAUACCCUGGUA
rnacentral:rRNA from 1 species